GCUUGACCUCAAAUCANGUAGGACUACCCGCUGAACUUAA
rnacentral:rRNA from 1 species